AACGUAGGAGGCGAGCGUUAUCCGGAUUUAUUGGGCGUAAAGCGCGUGCAGGCGGUUUGGAAAGUUGGAUGUGAAAGCUCCUGGCUUAACUGGGAGAGGUCGUUCAAAACUACCAGACUAGAGAAUGGGAGAGGGAAGUGGAAUUCCGGGUGUAGUGGUGAAAUGCGUAGAUAUCCGGAGGAACACCAGUGGCGAAAGCGGCUUCCUGGACCAUUUCUGACGCUAAGACGCGAAAGCUAGGGGAGCGAACGGG
rnacentral:rRNA from 2 species